rnacentral:sRNA from 1 species
CCUCGGUAGUGGAGGCUAUGCCGUCAGCGG